AUACCCUCAGGCCUAUGUGUGAAUGUCCCAUUACUUCCCUGGAGGGAAUUUUCACACCUGAGCCAGUUAUGGCCCAUCAAAAGGGAUGAAUGAUACUUCCCCGGUGGAGGGGAGGGUGUUUUACAACUGAGCUAGUUGUGUGAGGGAGGAUAUUAGCAUUUAGUAGCAUUUGGAGUCUUAAAAGUUAUUUUUAGGUUCUGAAUGGCUACAACAAGAAAUACUUCAAAUAUUUGUAUUUUCUUGUAGAUACUUAUUUAUGGCUUUCCUAAAGUAAAAAUGUAGGGAAAAAGUAAUUAAAUUUUGAAAUACCUGUUUCCCAAACUGGCAGUUAACAAUGAAACAGCAGAUAACACUGCCUCCAAGGUCUGUUACAAACAAAAGGGAUCACACAGAACUCAGCUUUCCACGACGUUGUUCUGCUCGGUUUUCCACCCGCGACCCGCUUAGUCCUGGAGAAGCAACCUGCUGCCCAGCUCCCUUCACCGCCCGGGGUGGCACGAAGCGCUUUGCUUUAGCAAUGCGUUUGCUUUUAACAAGAGUUAACUCCAUUGCCGCUUCAGGCAAAUGAACUGACUAAUGAGUUUUUUGUCGGCCGUGGAAGUGUGCUGCAAGUAAUUAAGGGAUGUGCUGUGGGACCGAUUAAGCUGCAAGUCACAGCGGCCGGAGCCCAAUCGCUGCGAGCCCGCCGCAAUCUGUGCCGCCUGUGCUCGGCUCCACAAUGGGAUCAUUGACUAUUUAUUUACUCCGCACAACAACUCUGCUGUUUAUUUAAUUAUAGGAGCUUUUCAGUCACCCACCCCCACCGCUUCAGCCCCAUCUCUUCCACGCUUUUUGAGUCCUCCCCUCCCGCCUCUGAUAACCGGUUGGUUGCUUGGGUAGAUGAAACGGGGCAACGCCUGAGCAUCCUUUGUGGGGUACGGGCUGCGCUCUCCCGGCGGAUCCGGGAACGGGAAUUUUCCGUGAGGGAAAGGGGAGGAGACAGGGAUUUUCCUGUCAAAUUGCUCAUCACCUCUGCCUGGAGGUCAAACCUCGAGAAAGCUGCACUGUGGAGGGGGAA
rnacentral:lncRNA from 1 species